AGACCUCACAUUGGGAUAGAUCCUCACCUCGCCCUUUCCCGGCCUGAGCUCAGCAGCUUUAGGGAAUCUCACCCAGAGCACAUAAAGGGCCUACUGGGGAAAGCUGUGUUCGUUUUGCUGAAAGGUGGUGAGUUUAGGAAGAAUAGAGACAGGAAUGAAGGGGUGGGCUCUUCACUAGAGCGACGUCCCUGGAUUUGAAACAAUCCGAUAAAGCCGGAUCUGGCGAACCGAUUGUAGCCAGGUUGAGUUAACACCCAGUGUCUGGAGGGGGCGGGGAGCUCCGGCGCGAAAACUUCCACGACGCCCUACUUUACUCUUGCUCCACUAAGCAGCCUACCGCAAAACCCCAGGCCUCUCCAUUGCGGAGCGGAAAGGCCAUCCGUUCAUGCAUAUGCAGGAGGAUAAGUUUAGCCGGCAGCCCCCUGAGCUCAGAGCAGCCCCGCGUGGCGCUCGGGGCGGGUGCUCGGCUCCGGCCGCAGAGUGGCGGGCGGUUCAGCCACUUGCGCGCCGAGCGUCUGGGCCUGGCAUCGCCCUUUUAAAAAGUCUUCCGCAGGCGGCCGCCGCCGCAGCAGCCGGAGGAGGCAGGUUCAUUUGAGGACAGUCCCAGUUCUCAGAAAUCCCUUCCCUGCUGGAACAUCAAGCUCUCUUUGCUGCAGUUGAACAAACUGCCCUAGAUUGGGGGACGAGGAAUCCGCCCCAAACUCGUGCAAGGAGCUCCGGGCGCCCGCGCCCACGUGAGCUAACCUUGACAUUAGCCCCCCCACACCUGAGGUGGAGGUGGAGCCACGAGGGAGGGUUGCUGGCCCCUGGGGCGCUAGCCACUGGGCUCGCACGCUCCACGUGAGCGCGCCUCCCUGUUUCGUAACUCUAGCGAUGUUUCUUUCUUUCUUUUUUUUUUAAUCCCUGAGGUACCAUGGGUGUGAGGUGUGCUGAGAAGGCAGGCCACUUUCCACCCCCACAUCCUCGAAGAUCAGGAAAACCUGCCCUGCGGUCCCUCUGGGAAGACUGCAGAGUAGGGUGUCGCGAUGACAUCAGCUUCUAAACAUAGUCCAUACCGCACCCCAACUCUGGGCCCUGCGUGCAAGGCGCGGGGGUGGGGGAGGAAAAGAGAGGUGGGGUGGCUGGUGUUGCUGUCCCUGGGCGGGGCGGGCUGGCCGGCCAGGCUGUGCGAGUGGAGAUGACUUUGCAGGAAUCGUGCUUUCCACGACUGCAGCCACAUCUUUCCUACGAUGACCCAGCCACCCGGCUU
rnacentral:lncRNA from 1 species